UGUCCAGACUCCUACGGGAGGCAGCAGUGGGGAAUAUUGGGCAAUGGGCGCAAGCCUGACCCAGCAACGCCGCGUGAAGGAAGAAGGCUUUCGGGUUGUAAACUUCUUUUCUCAGGGACGAAGAAAGUGACGGUACCUGAGGAAUAAGCCACGGCUAACUACGUGCCAGCAGCCGCGGUAAUACGUAGGUGGCAAGCGUUAUCCGGAUUUACUGGGUGUAAAGGGCGUGUAGGCGGGGACGCAAGUCAGAUGUGAAAACCACGGGCUCAACCUGUGGCCUGCAUUUGAAACUGUGUUUCUUGAGUACUGGAGAGGCAGACGGAAUUCCUAGUGUAGCGGUGAAAUGCGUAGAUAUUAGGAGGAACACCAGUGGCGAAGGCGGUCUGCUGGACAGCAACUGACGCUGAGGCGCGAAAGCGUGGGGAGCAAAC
rnacentral:rRNA from 1 species